rnacentral:rRNA from 1 species
UUAUGGCUCAGGACGAACGCUGGUGGCGUGCUUAACACAUGCAAGUCGAGCGAUGAAGCUUCUUCGGGAGUGGAUUAGCGGCGGACGGGUGAGUAACACGUGGGUAACCUGCCUCAUAGAGGGGAAUAGCCUUUCGAAAGGAAGAUUAAUACCGCAUAAGAUUGUAGUACCGCAUGGUACAGCAAUUAAAGGAGUAAUCCGCUAUGAGAUGGACCCGCGUCGCAUUAGCUAGUUGGUGAGGUAACGGCUCACCAAGGCGACGAUGCGUAGCCGACCUGAGAGGGUGAUCGGCCACAUUGGGACUGAGACACGGCCCAGACUCCUACGGGAGGCAGCAGUGGGGAAUAUUGCACAAUGGGGGGAAAAACCCCCUGAUGCAGCAACGCCGCGUGAGUGAUGACGGCCUUCGGGUUGUAAAACUCUGUCUUUGGGGACGAUAAUGACGGUACCCAAGGAGGAAGCCACGGCUAACUACGUGCCAGCCGCCGC